GCCCGCCUGAGUGCCUCUGAGAACACGCAGCACGGUGCUCCCUGUGCAGUGCUCCCUGUGCGUGGGCUUCGAGCUAAACACUCGAUUUCAGGUAGGGGCUCCUGCAGGGACCAGCUGUGUGACCUGGGGCAAGUGGCUCCACCUCUCUGUGCUCCUCAGGAGGCUGCAGCAGGCUUUGCUGGAACCCGGGUCAUAGCCCUGCUUGUUGGGGUCGACGGCUGGCCGCUCCUGCUGGUCGCCCACUAGCUGCGUGACUUUAAGCAGGACACUUAACCCAUCACUCGUUUGUGAAAGGGGGUACUGACAUCUACCGCCAAGGGCCCUGAGGAGGUUAUAAUGACCCUAGGCCUGUAAAAUGCUUGGCGGGGUACCAGCCACUUCCAAACAUGGGGCUCCUCUUGGGUCAGCCGUGAGGCUGAGUCUGCUUCCGGGCCCCAAUACCGCCUCAUCUCCUCCCAUCUGACCACCUGCCUGACGCGCCCCUCCCCCAGACAUCGAUGAGUGCCAGGUGCCCCCCGGACAGGCCCCUCCCUGCGACCACCACUGCCAUAACCACCUGGGUGGCUUCUACUGCUCCUGCCGCAGGGGCUACGUGCUCCACGAGAACAAGCGCACCUGCUCAGAGCAGAGCCCCUAGCCUCACUUCUAGCUCCGGUCUGGGUCGGGCCGAGAUUGCUGCUGCCUGCAGCCCCCCAUCCACCCCAUCCACCCCUCUGUGGACCUAACAAUAAAGCUGCCUCCACCUCCA
rnacentral:lncRNA from 1 species